AAAAAGAUAAGCUAAUCAAGCUAUUAGGUUCAUACCCUAACCAUGAAAGUUCUAAUCCUUCUCUUUUUA
rnacentral:tRNA from 1 species